CGGCAACGGAUAUCUCGGCUCUCGCAUCGAUGAAGAACGUAGCGAAAUGCGAUACUUGGUGUGAAUUGCAGAAUCCCGUGAACCAUCGAGUCUUUGAACGCAAGUUGCGCCCGAAGCCAUCCGGCCGAGGGCACGCCUGCCUGGGCGUCACACGCCGUUGCCCCC
rnacentral:rRNA from 3 species